rnacentral:rRNA from 1 species
ACGGAGGGUGCGAGCGUUAAUCGGAAUUACUGGGCGUAAAGCGUGCGUAGGCGGUUUGUUAAGCAAGAUGUGAAAGCCCCGGGCUCAACCUGGGAACUGCAUUUUGAACUGGCAGGCUAGAGUAUUGUAGAGGGUGGUGGAAUUUCCAGUGUAGCGGUGAAAUGCGUAGAGAUUGGAAGGAACAUCAGUGGCGAAGGCGGCCACCUGGACAAAUACUGACGCUGAGGCACGAAAGCGUGGGGAGCAAACAGG